rnacentral:rRNA from 1 species
UGGGGAAUUUUGGACAAUGGGGGCAACCCUGAUCCAGCCAUGCCGCGUGUCUGAAGAAGGCCUUCGGGUUGUAAAGGACUUUUGUUAGGGAAGAAAAAGGAGCGGUUAAUACCCGUUUCUGCUGACGGUACCUAAAGAAUAAGCACCGGCUAACUCCGUGCCAGCAGCCGCGGUAAUACGGAGGGUGCGAGCGUUAAUCGGAAUAACUGGGCGUAAAGGGCACGCAGGCGGCUAUUUAAGUGAGGUGUGAAAUCCCCGGGCUUAACCUGGGAAUUGCAUUUCAGACUGGGUAGCUAGAGUACUUUAGGGAGGGGUAGAAUUCCACGUGUAGCGGUGAAAUGCGUAGAGAUGUGGAGGAAUACCGAAGGCGAAGGCAGCCCCUUGGGAAUGUACUGACGCUCAUGUGCGAAAGCGUGGGGAGCAAACAGGAUUAGAUACCCUGGUAGUCCACGCUGUAAACGCUGUCGAUUUGGGGAUUGGGCCUUGAGCUUGGUGCCCGAAGCUAACGUGAUAAAUCGACCGCCUGGGGAGUACGGCCGCAAGGUUA